GUUGUAGCUCAGUGGGAGAGCACUUGCCUCAUACGUGUGAGGCACUGGGUUCGAUUCCCAGCACAACA
rnacentral:tRNA from 1 species